UAGCGCGUCAAUCUAAUCUAGCGCGGGUAAUAAAACUAGUUGCACUUGGAUUUUUCACUAGACCGAGUCCAGACGCGCGCGUGAACACUGCUGCACAAAAAUGCCUGUUUGCUCGGUUUUUUGUUAUAAAAAGAGGUCGAGGACAUCAAAUUUACAAAAAGAAAGUGUUACAUUUCACAUGUAAUAUUUUUUUUACAUAUCAUACGUUUAAUUACAUUCAAACACAAUUAUUAUAUUUUAGUCUCAUGUAAUUGUUGGAUUUAUCGAUUUUGCUCGCUCAGUACAAAUUGCGGAUCGGUCGAGCGACAAAUCCGACAUCUCAUCUCUCAGAAUACAAUAACAUACUUCAACGAAAAUGUGUUAAUGUGCGUGUUGUGACACUUGUCACUCGUCCGUACACAAAAAGAGAUCGAGGUUUGCAAGAUUUGUCUUUGACGUGUGUCAUUUUCUAUGUAUUUGUGUCGUCAUUACAGAUUGGAUUUUGUAUUGAGUGAGAAGUGCGACUGUGUGCCCGUUUCCCCGCAAAAAAUGGCAGAACGAUUUGUACGGUAAGAUAUCGCCUGGGCUCUUCCCUUCCGACGUGUCGGAAGCCGAUGUUGCUC